rnacentral:sRNA from 1 species
AUCAGGCGUGGUGGCACAUGCCUGUAAUCCCAGCUACUUGGGAGGCUGAGGCAGGAGGAUUGUAAAUUCAAGGCUAGCCUGGGCAACUUAGUGAGACCCUGCCUCAA